GAUGGGCUUUUAUUUUUUAAGGGGGGAGGUCUUCAGGCAAUGGCAGCACCCCCUUUUUGCUGUCUACCAAGGAGAGCUGCAAGAGAAAGAAAGAGAGGGGAGCGAAAUUCCUGAAUGGAUAGACAGAUGCUACGUCAUCAGGGCUGCAGCCUCUACUCCACAAGAGGCUAGGAGCUGGGGGGGAGAGAAGCAGACCAGCCGUGGGGGCCUGAGAGACAGACACCUCCUCUUCACAGGAACUGGGGGACCAACACCCAGAUGAAGCAACCAUAUUUGUUUCUGGUACCAUUGUAGGCGGCUCUCCAGCUGGGGCUUCGGACACCCCCCUGCGACCCCCCAGCCUCCGAAUUACAUGCCCGGUGUUGGGGGUGGGGCAUAGAGAAGGAGGGUUGGAGAACCCGACGCUGCAGAAGAGAAGCCAUCGACAGGAGAGGGAGCACAGAGUAAGUGGUCUUUCCGGGCGCAGGGUGGACUCAGGGGACACACUAGGGAAGGGCGGCCAGAGGUGAGGAACCUCUCAGUUCCCGGCGGCCCUCUGACCGGCAUCAAUCCCGUUCAACUCCUUUUUAUUUAGGUCCUUGUGUCCCGCAACCGUCCACACGUGGCUUUGGUGAGGGAUUGCAAUCAUAUAGGUGAAACCUAUUUUUCGGAUUCUCUCGUUGCCCUGGAGGCGAGGUCCUUAAUCCCCACUAUAUCUGCAGCUGCCUCUUACCUUUUAGUUUAGUGCCGAAUCUUUUCGGCCUUCCGCCCAUCCCUAUCUCCCCCGACCUCUCCCGCUUCUCCACCAGCCACAUCAUCCCGAUUCCGAUAAUUACGAUUUCCUUGUUCUCAUCUCCAUUCCCUGUCUACUCCUUCCCCACCAUAUCCUUAUUCCUGUUUUUGCCAUUCAAAUCUACAAACAUUUAUUAUAGACUUACUAUAUACGGGAUUUAUAGUAGAUAACAUCCUCGUCCUCGUCCGCACUAUCCUUAUUCCUGUCUCCCCGUUUCCCCCCCCCCCCCGCAUUAGUCCCAACCCCAGAAUCUCUGAUUUCGGCCCCAUCCCCACCAUCGCAAGUCAUCAACCUUUCCAGUUUCCAUUCCCGAUUCUUUGACCUCUCGAGCCUGCCUCUGCCUCGCUGGGAUUCAGAAUCUCCCUCUGAUUCCUCUGCAUGUGUGAGGGAAGGGUGGAAGCAAUCCCUGGUGUUUUAUUCUUUCCUCUACAGUCCUUAACGCAAAGCUGGGCUUUAGGGCUCCGCUCAGAAUCGGAAUUCCCGCCUCGUUGGACUAAUGGUACUACACUGGGUCCUCACUAGAGCUGAGAUUUCGGUCUUCGCUUCUAACCGAGGCAAAGGGGCAGGUUUCCAAGGCCACCCCUUUUUUUCAGGGGAGAAGGAGAGGAGGGAGCCGGCAUCGUGGGGACCUGUCCGUCGUGGGUCCUUCAUUCAACCUGCCUGAUAAAUCGAAAUAUCAAGCCGGCACUCGUGAGCUCCUCGCUUCUUCGAGCCAGAUUCAUUCCUGGCUCGAGAUUGAGAUCAUAGAAACCUAAGAUCAGGAGCUGAAAGGGCCCUUUGAGAUCCUCUAGCUCAAUUCAUUAUUUUUACAGAAGAGGAAACUGGGAUUGGGGAUGAGAGUGGACGAAGGACUGCGAGAUGGACCAGAACUGGGUAGGGCUUUGUCGUAUCUCGUUCCCCUUUCUUUUUCCCCCUUCCUUCAUAUCAUCCUCCCUCCACCCCCUCCACCUCUCCACCCAGGGUCGGGAACCAUCCGAACCCGGAGGAUGCCCGGAAGUAGUGGUGGCGGUGGAGCCCAGGGGUCUGCUUGGAGGUGGCGGUGGCGUUGACAGCGGCUGCAGCAGGGAGGCGGGGUUGAUUGUUAUCUUUGGUUAUCUAGCUGUAUGAGUGGUGUCGAGUCUUCAUAAAGCUAGAUAACCGAAAGUAAAAAUAACCCCAUACACUGCGGAGCACGAGCCCGAGGGAAGGCGGGCCGGAGCUAGGCGCCCCCGAGCUGAUCCUGGGAAAUGGGGAAAGGGAGGAGAUGGAAGGGAGGGAAACCGAAGCAAGAGCCAAGAGACCAAAAAGGAAAAUCAGAAGGAAAAGAAGAGGAAGAAAAGACGUCUUACUUCUAGUGGGACUUCCGAGAUGGCAGCCACUCAGUCCCCCCCUCCCCAUCUCCAAGGUAGGAGUCAUCCCUUUCCCAUAUCUCGCUUGUCUCUUCAAUAUUACAGGAUUUGGGCUCUCCACAUCUUGUGGAAGAGCCAUUCUGAUCGACUCUCCUUCUUCCUUUAGUUUGUCCCAUUCGACCCUGCUGCUACUGCAGCAAGCUCUUUUCGCACUGUGAAGAUGAGAGAAUAUCCUCACUGAUAUACUGAAAAGAGCCCUGGCCUGCGAGUCAGGAGUCCAAGAUUUUAGCUCUGUUUCUACAGAUAGCUGUGUGGGCUCAAGCAAAUUAUUUCCCCACUUUGAGCCUCAGUGUUCCCUUCUGUAAAAUGAGAGCAUUAGACUCUAUUCUGUUUCUCUUCCUGCUUUAGCUCAGAAGCUUUAGCUUUAGGUAAGGUAUUUCUAGCUCUAACAGUCUAAAUCUCCAUUCUGUAAUCCCAAGGAGAUUCCAGUAAGGGUUCUUUCAAACAGCAGUUUUCCAAGUCAAUUCCCUUCUGCCUCUAGGCUGCUAUUCCCUAGCUCUAGUUGCUGUCCCAAAGCGGUAGACUUCCCAGAACUGGGGCUCAAAAAGACAUUCCCCAAAUUCCAAAUAACUUGGGCUCCUGCAAAGACAGAAAUGGAGACCUAGUGAGGUUGGAAUUGACUUCAAUAGGAUUGGGAGGGAGAACAAGCUUUGCUUUGUUCCCUAGUUAGGUAGACAGCAGCCACUCUUCUGCAGAGUGGAUGCAAAAAGAGAGAAUGAUUGGAGGAUGGUUAAUUGAGAGACAGUCAUUGAAGAUCUAAAGUUAGGUUUUUCUUUUUUCUCAGUCUUCCAGCAAGGUGGAUGAAGGGUCAAAGAUUUAAAGGUUUGUGGGGCUGAAAGAGAACUUAGAAAUCAUCUAAUCUAACCUCAUUUGACAAAUAAGGAAACUGAGACCUAGAGAGAUGAAGUGUCUUGCCUAAGGUCACAAAGCUAGUUAGUGGCAGGGUUGGGUCAAAUCCAAGGUUUCUGAUUUCAAAUUAUUUCUAUUACAUCAUAUUUCUUUUGUUUUGUGGUUUUUCUUGGAAACAGGUCUAUGGGAGAAUGGGAACUGUGAUCCUUCUCCAUCUCAGGCUCGAUGAUUUUUCCUAAUAAAUAUCUCAAAAACACUGUCCAUCUAGAUUGUGGCCUGAAAUUUGGUAUAGAAACACCAGGAAUUUAUAGACUAAACUGACUGACCUAAAAUCCUCCUCUACCCAUCCACCCUCCCCGUUUUUCUUUGAAAUCACAUCCAGAUAAAAUGGAUACAGGGCGGGAAAGGAGAUUUAAAGAUGAAUAUUAAUUCAUUGACCCAAGUAGUAUCUAUACUUGCCAAGGAAAUGGGAGAAUUUAAAUAUAUUAACCAAGUUCCCAAUUGAUUCUGUGCCUCACUUAGAACCACAGGGUACAGAUUUAUUUCACAACCAACAGAUUUUCUAUUAUAGUGAGGAAUGUGGAAAACAAAUUCAGUACUGGAGACCUAGGGAAUAGGAAUGGUUGUAUCGCAAAGGGUGUCCUGACUUUCUGAUAUUCUGGAGAAGAAGGAAUUAUUGUUAUCACCUUCCUGAGCUUUUCUGUUCAUUUGGGAAGUCCUUUCUAAUGUCUAGUCUCUAUUCUGCUACCUGCAACCUAGUUCUUUCUUUUUCCAGCUAUAGAUAGAGUUUAGCAGGGCUUUCAUUUACCUCAGAUCAUUUACUCCUCUGCUUUAAGAUCUCCUUUUUGGGAAAGUCUUUAAUGUUAUCUAACUUUCAUCCUGAAGCAACCAAGGCAAGUUUCUUGAAUGAGGAGAGCAUGGAUCAGAGUUUGGAAGAAGGGAAGGAAUAAAGAAAGAGAAAGUUACAAGACAGGAGAUAAGAUACAGUUAUUGGUGAUAAAUGGAAACUAGGAUAAUGGGCUAGAGGAGCAUGAAUGAAAGAGGGACGAUGGGAACAAAUGCAGGUUUAGCUUUUAGGAGGAUAAAGAAUGCCAAAGGCAUAAACUGUGAAGUAAAAGUUUUUGGAAAAGGGGCACCAGGAAAGAAGGAUUAUUUUUUGUUUUAGAUCUUUUGACCUUCUUAUAUAUCUGGCUAUAAAUGUAUCUUUGUAAUCUCCUCAGACUCAGCUCACCAGUGGUAAAUUUUUAUUGUGAUGAUAGAUAACAUGGGAUCGUGACUUUAAAGCUAGAAGACAGAUAAAUAGAAAUAACUAUUUCUCAAGGACCAGCCUAGCUAAGUUCUGAGAGGUUCAUCACUAGGCUGGCUAUGGAAUGAAGCAAUUUUUUUUCAGUCACAGAAAUUCUCAAAGAUUGUAAGAUUAUAGAUUUAGAAGUAGGAAGGUAUCUCAAAGGCCAUCUAGAUCAACCCUCUCAUUUUACAGAUGAGGAAACUGAGAUUCAAAGGAUAAAGCAAGUUACCAUCUACUAAAGUAUAGAAGGGUUGUGUUUUGAGCUGAUAAAAAAUCAUUUCCUUCAAGAAUGAAAUCACAGAUAAUUAAGGAAUGAAGUUUAUGGGAUCUAGAUUGUUACAGUGAAUCCUUAGUUCCCUUCUUAGGUCAGAUGCCCUCUUAUCAUCCCUGAACAGGCUGUGUUCUCAUGAAGACAACUAAAAUCUGGGAUGGUGAAAGCCCUGAGGCACUGGGGAAAGGAAUAGGGGAUCUGAGAAAUCAUCUCCAGUCUUGAGCAAACAUCUAUUGAGGAUCACCUUAGAAAGGCAGAAUAGAAGAAUUGAAGGAGUAGAAUAUAUGCUUGUCUCUCUCUUGUAUGUGUCUGUUUAUAGAGAAGAUAGAGAUGUGACUGUGAAUAUCACGGUCAAGGUGACUGUUACUGUAUAGUGAAUGUGUGAGUGUGGUAUGAAACGAUAUGUGAGAUAUACUAUAUAGUGUGAAAUGGGAUGAGAGUGAUUGUGGACUCUAUUGUGAGGUGACCCAAUUAUAAUAGUUCAUUUUUAUUAGCAUUAUGAGGUUUACAAAGCAUUCUCCUCAUAACAUUGUGAGGUAGGUAAUAUAAGCAGUCUUAUUACCCCAGUUUGCAAAUACUAAAGCUGAAAUACAAAGAGGUCAAGAGAUUGCCCCAAAUCAUACAAUUGGGUAACCGUUAGAGUAAAAUCUUGGCCUACCAUCUUAAAUUUUUUUUCAAUCCCAUUUCUCAUACCCCCAGCAUUGAAAAAGAAAAACAAUGAAUAUACAUGUAUAACCGCCCCCCCCAAAAAAAAAACUUGUUUCUAUAUGUAACUGGGGAAAAUAAUGUUUUUAAUUUAAUUUAAAAAAUUUAAAAAUUCCAACAACAAAAAGGAAAAGGAAAAAAAAAACAUGUAAUAAGUAUACAUAGUCAAGCAAAGUAAAUUGCCCAGUUUAACUGUAUUCUUCUGACCUCACCUUUUCAUUACUAUUUGGGACUGUUCAUGGUAUAAUAAUAUGUCUAGUGAUGCUAUAAAAACUAUAUAUGUGAUUGUGUGGUGUGUAACUAUGUAACUGCUUUAUGAUGUGCUACCAUCAAGGGGCAUCAUAGUGUACCUGGGAAGAAAUCCUGUCUUUGACACUCAAUUAUCUGUGUGACCAUAGGAAAUCACUGAGUCUCAGUUUCUUUAUCCAUACAAGGGCUUUUGUAAUAAUAUCAAUACUACUUACCUUAUAAGGUUGUUUUAAGAAAAUUGUUUUGAAAUGUCUUAAAUCAUAUAAACCAUAUUAAAAAUGUGAGUUAUUAAUAUACUCUGUGUGUGUGAUUCCAUCCCUCCCAGGGAUAUGCUGUUUCCCAUCAGGUUCAGAUUAUAUUAAACCAGUUGAAUUGGAGCCAGAGGCCCUUGUGGGAAACUUUGCAUAGGACCAAAAAUCAAGGCAGUGAAUAGAGCCACAUAUCCCUCACUCACCUCCUCCCUCUAACAAGCCUGAUGGGCAAGAGUCAGAAACAUCCUAAAACGGGUUUUUCUAUUCUAGUUACCACCUAUGGCCUCAUACCCUUUUAAAUCAGAAAGUUCUUCUUGCAGUUGAAUCUCAAUUCCACUUAGUACAACUUUGUUCUCUUCUGUUCUAUCUUUAAAGCUCAACAAUGAAUAGGUAGCUAUUAUCCCUAUCCAAAACCAAAUACUAACCCUUCUUCCUCCCAUCAAGUUUCUAGUCUCCUAUCAAAUUCUGACCAAUUCUGGGCUCCCAGAAUAAAGUGCUCAUAGACUCUGAAGAACAUGUCUUCUACUUAAAGCAGAUUUGCCAGGCAGCCCCAAACAAGUACAGGCAGAUAUAUUUUGGGGUUUUUGUGGGGGGGUUAAAGAAAGAUCUUUUAUCAUUUGCUAUUAAACUAUAUUUCUGGUUGUGAGGUAGAACGAGUAUUCAGAAAUUCAGGAAGCAGCAGUUUCUCUUUGAGGACAGAAAAUUGAGCUCUAAGACUUGUUAAUGUAUUAAACACAAUUUCUCCAUUACCGACAAUAUUGCCACUUUACCUUCUUUGAGAAGUUUUCUUCUCUCUGAAUUACUUGAAUUUCUUAUCCAAAAUCACAACCUUUGAUGGCUGACUCCAUUAUGGAUAAUUGGGAGUUAGGAAGAAUUUUUUAUGUGUCUUUUCCCCACAUUCAGAUGUAUAUACCAGGAAAGGCUUUUAAAACCAACACAGAAAUAAAAUACUAUUGGGGGGGCGGGGAGGAACCAUCACAGAGAGGGGAAUAGAGGAGAUAACUCUGCUUUUGUUGGAGGAAGUGAAAAAGAGGCUAUAUUUUGAGUAUAGGAGAGGACAGGGUUUGAAUGAUUGAACACAAAAUGCCAUAUAUUAAUCACUUUGUCUUGGGAAAAUCACAUUACCUCUUUGCUGCCAGUCUAAAGAUCUCAAAGCACUUAGUAGCAUAAACAUGCUUCAUUGUUCCUUACAAGCCCUUAGAAUUCAGUGGAGUGUUCUUUAAGUUUAGAACACAAGAAAGAAACAACAGAGGAUAGAGAAGACUAGCAUCCUCAGCUGAAAGGGAUUAGUCCCUGGGGAGGAGGAAAGAACCUGGGGGAAAGAAUGUCUUUUAGCUAGGAGAAAGGAAUAGGGGGUGCCUGGGAUUUACCAUUAUGCCCUGCUGUUAACAGCCACUUUCCCCAUUUGUGUAGAGCUUCAAUUUGUGUACAGAAAAAUGCAGCAUGUAAAUUAGGGAAAAGAUAAACAACGAGUGGAUUGAGUGGAUAAAUCUCAGACAGAUUUAGGGUACAUGUGAGGAAAAGCUUUCUUAACAAUCGGAUCUUUCUAAAAAUCAAAUUGCCUUUCUGAGGAGAGUGGGGUCCCCACCACUGAAGACCUUCCAGCAGAGACAAUAAGUAUGGUCAGUAGCCAUAGGUGUUGUAGAGAAUAUCCCUUUGGUUUGGAUAACCUUACAAGUCACUUCCAAAUCAGAAAUUCUGUGAGAUACGAUGUAUAUGAAUGAAAAUCCUAGAUUUUUGCUUCUGCACCUUUUUUUUUUUUUUAAGAAAUAUGUUUUUUAUGUGGGAGAACCAAUUUUAUGGUGGAAAAGAAAGCAUUAAGGACCUAACCACAAGCAAUUGGACUGUUCUCUACCACUGAAUUCCUAGGAAAGUUAUCAUAGCUCUACCUCUGCCUAUUUCUUUUAUUAUUAUUAUUAUUAUUAUAUAAGAGCUUUUUAUUUUCGCCUAACUAUUUCUUUCCACCCCUGGAUGAAACUAACAGAAUCUGAAUGACAGGUCUAAAUGAUGAUCUUGAAGACUCUCUAGUCCAUCUAGGUCAUUUUACAGAUGAAAAAACUGGGGUCCAGAAAGAUGAUUUGCUCUAAGUCACUCUGCUAGUAAGUGUCAGAGCUCAGACUUGAGCUCUCCUCUUGUGAUUCUAAGUCUGUUCUUAUGAAAUUCUGUCUGCACUCCUCUCUGUCAAAUCAUCCUUCCUGUCUGUCUUGAACCCCUUCCAUUUUAUUUUUUCUUCUUACUAGGCUCUGAACACUGGAAUUCUGGGUAUUCAUGAUUCCAUAUCCAUCCCCAUAUCCAUGGGGAUGAAUUGUUCUUCCUUACUCUUUGCUGUUUUCCAAUACUUGCUGAUUCAAAAGAUUUACACACAGAGGCAGAGAAAUGGAUAGAAUGACUAAUUAGCUAUAUGACUUUAGCUUCCUAUUUGAUUUGGUCUUGGCAUUCCUCUUCCUUCUCUUCAUUCUGCAGCACAACUCAGCACGUUUGAUAUUGGUAUUCAGCACAUUGGACAGCGCCAGGAUGAGAAUCAUCCCUGUAACAAAGAUUUUAAAAGGAAGAAGAGGAAUAAAAAUCAGUUAAUCAAAGCCAGCCUUCACAUCUGUUCUGACAUUAUGUGCAAUACUCCAUAUCCAUGGUAUUCUACUUCUACAAAAAAAAGGGAACAGAACAAUAAGAGGACUUAAAGGACAAGGGGCCAAUAGCAUACAGAGGGAGAAGCCUUAACACAAUUGGCCUCCAUGUACCUGAAGCAGCCUUCCAGGAUUGACUGGAGGACAGAUAACGCCAGCUACUAAUCCCAGGGAGAGAGAAAGUGAAGAGAUCUUCCUGUCACCCUCUCCACUGAUAUCCACCCUCCUCCAGGAAGUUUGUCAGGAUUCAUAGAGCAUCAGCCCUUGAAUUGCCUGGUUCCUGUCCGGGAUAAAAGUAUUUGACCUUCAUGUAUACUUAUUGUGUAUCUAAGUUAUAUUUUAAUAUAUUUAACAUCUACUGGUCAUCCUGCCAUCUAGGGGAGGGGGGGGGUAAGAGGUGAAAAAUUGGAACAAGAGGUUUGGCAAUUGUUAAUCCUGUAAAGUUACCCAUGUAUAUAUCCUGUAAAUAAAAGGCUAUUAAAUUUAAAAAAAAAAAAAGUAUUUGACCUUAACACAUCUCAUCUCUGUGUAUUUUUACUAGCCUGGGAGCCCCAUGGGGGCAGGACCUGAGUCUGUGUUGAAUAAAAGCUCUUAGAUCCUG
rnacentral:lncRNA from 1 species